CGGUCUCUUGUAUUUUACUUUCCAGAAAAUCUGCAUGAUGGUACUCAAAAUUUAUGAAUGGUUUUAUUGGCAUGUCAUGGUGUGGAUCGAGAUGAUGUUCAGUAGACUCCCUCAUCACCUUGCCAGUGCUAUUGAUCGCUCACAGCUUCAAUCUGAAUGUGCUUCUUCCAGUCUAUGCUCCCUCUCUUUGGUUCAUUGGCCUCCCAAGACUACUUUGUAAGUUGUGGACGUCAAUGUCAGUUCUUCUGCUGCAAAGUUGGGGAAAGAAUUGCAGUGCAAUCAAGUUUCGUCCGAGCACACAACAUCAGCGAUGUGACGAUGAAGCAAUGACAUUGUCUGGCUAUUCAUACAAUUCUAUAGAAGAUGCAAUGGACGUUGCAGCUGCUCGAGUAAUGAAAUAUAUGGAGACCAUGCGUGCCAAGGUAUUGAAAGAAUAUAGUUACAACGAGCUGCAACAAAUGAAGGAAAGAGAACUGCAUCUGAUUGGUUUGUUAGGACAAAGAGAAAGAAAUCAAAGAACAGGCUCUGAAGAUUAGAGAACUUAGCAAAGACUUUGCAUAUCAGGUUAAAAGCACUUCUUCUGAGAUUCACCGCCCAGCUAAAGGAAGUUUAUGCUCAGCCAAUUCCAUAAGUGGUCGCGAGCUCGACAAAGCGGCUAUAGAUAUUCACAAUGCAAUUGCUCAUCUUGGCCAAUUGAGUGAAAACUCUAUGCAGGUAAUCCAAAACACAUCGGUAUACCCACUUAGGAGAGGAUCUACUUCCACAGCCUAUGUGCCUUCAGAAGAUGCCGAUACUACCAGCUACAGCAGCCUUCUUUUUGAAUAUCAAGUGAUUACCUUUGUCUAGAGAAGAUCACUGCCAUAGUUCAUCUGCCAGUCUUUCCAGAGCUUCUAUCCUGUUGAUGGACUUUGAACUUAAGCUAUCCCCAGCUAUGUAUGUUAGUUGCGGCAAUCGCAUGUAUAUAGAUUAAACCAUCAGCUACGUUCUAUGUUGCGAGGCAAAUGCCAGUAGUCUCUCAAUAUAACAUGCAGCCGCUUAUUACGUAGGAAUACGAACAUAUGUCCACUGUUAAUAAACCUACCAUGCAUUGUAAUAUAUAAAGCUAUGUAACAUCAUAUCUAAGUAUCAUUUUCCUUAUGCUUCAAAAAUUUAUGAUUGGUCUGUUAAUAUUCUUAUUUGCUUGGUUUCCUUCCGCCUUUUGCGCCAGGUGCGCCAAUGUGGAUGAAGCGCGUGUUGCAUCUAAAAAAAUACAUGUUCUUGCUGGAGCUACCUACUGCUUCAAUGGCUAUCUGUAAUCUCAGACAGGCUCUUCUAAAGAUUCAUAGUGCCAUGGUUGAACUUCAGAGCAUUUCAAGCGCGGCAUGUCUCUCACUGAAGAAGGAAGGUACCCAUAUCAAAAGAAAGGUAUAUACCCAUAUGAUCCAGACUCAGACUCAAGCUGUGAUGAGGAUUUUGUCCCUAUGAACCAACCUUCAAUGGCUUGGAAGCUUGGUUCGCUCUCGCCCUUUGCGCCAUCGGUGCAACCGGUCAUCUAGCCACUGCCCAGCGACCAUGGGCACUUGCCCGGGCUCGUGAGGCACGCGCGCGCUAUGAUGCCCCCGAUACAUCAGGGAAAAUCGUCAACGCAUCUGGGGUUACCUGGACAGCUGGGCUAGUUGUGCUUCAUUAAUCAGCUAAUGGGCUUCCUUCUGUCAGUAAAUGAAUGGGUUAGCUGACCUGGAGUACCGCUACUAACCUAGGCCUAGCAAUCACCGAAAUCACUAAUUAAGGAAUACUUGUUGC